AGUCGAGCGGACCGACGGGAGCUUGCUCCCUUAGGUCAGCGGCGGACGGGUGAGUAACACGUGGGUAACCUGCCUGUAAGACUGGGAUAACUCCGGGAAACCGGGGCUAAUACCGGAUGCUUGAUUGAACCGCAUGGUUCAAUCAUAAAAGGUGGCUUUUAGCUACCACUUACAGAUGGACCCGCGGCGCAUUAGCUAGUUGGUGAGGUAACGGCUCACCAAGGCGACGAUGCGUAGCCGACCUGAGAGGGUGAUCGGCCACACUGGGACUGAGACACGGCCCAGACUCCUACGGGAGGCAGCAGUAGGGAAUCUUCCGCAAUGGACGAAAGUCUGACGGAGCAACGCCGCGUGAGUGAUGAAGGUUUUCGGAUCGUAAAACUCUGUUGUUAGGGAAGAACAAGUACCGUUCGAAUAGGGCGGUACCUUGACGGUACCUAACCAGAAAGCCACGGCUAACUACGUG
rnacentral:rRNA from 1 species